CAAUGCGCGAAAGCGUGACGCAGCAACGCCGCGUGGGGGAAGACGGCCUUCGGGUUGUAAACCCCUUUCAGUUGGGACGAAGGUCGGUGGUGAAUAGCCGGUCGGAGUGACGGUACCUUCACAAGAAGCCCCGGCUAACUACGUGCCAGCAGCCGCGGUAAUACGUAGGGGGCAAGCGUUGUCCGGAAUCAUUGGGCGUAAAGCGCGUGUAGGCGGCUCGGUAAGUCCGCUGUGAAAGCCCGGGGCUCAACCCCGGGAGGCGGGUGGAUACUGCCGAGCUAGAGUCCGGAAGAGGCGAGUGGAAUUCCUGGUGUAGCGGUGAAAUGCGCAGAUA
rnacentral:rRNA from 1 species